rnacentral:rRNA from 1 species
AUUGAACGCUGGCGGCAUGCUUUACACAUGCAAGUCGAACGGUAACAGGGAGCUUGCUCCGCUGACGAGUGGCGAACGGGUGAGUAAUGCGUCGGAACGUGCCGAGUAGUGGGGGAUAACGCAGCGAAAGUUGUGCUAAUACCGCAUACGUACUGAGGUAGAAAGUGGGGGACCUUCGGGCCUCACGCUAUUCGAGCGGCCGACGUCUGAUUAGCUAGUAGGUGAGGUAAAGGCUCACCUAGGCGACGAUCAGUAGCGGGUCUGAGAGGAUGAUCCGCCACACUGGGACUGAGACACGGCCCAGACUCCUACGGGAGGCAGCAGUGGGGAAUUUUGGACAAUGGGGGGAACCCUGAUCCAGCCAUGCCGCGUGUGUGAAGAAGGCCUUAUGGUUGUAAAGCACUUUAAGCGAGGAGGAGGCUACUGAGACUAAUACUCUUGGAUAGUGGACGUUACUCGCAGAAUAAGCACCGGCUAACUCUGUGCCAGCCGCCGCAGUAAGAC